UGCAUCUCCAAUUGCUAGACAGCAUGCAAAUGAGAGAGCAGGAAGUUGCCAGACCGGACACCAACCAGUGCUGUCGAAACCAGGCACCCUCACUCCAGCAUGGCCUUGGGCAGGGUCCAGUGCAGCAGGGUGGGCCAGAUCAGGGAGGUUGGCCACGAUCCCCAGCCUCGAAUAUGGGAGAUGAUGGAAGCGCCCAGAGAGGUUGGUAUUUCCUGGAUGGUUCUCAAGGGGGAAGAAUCACUUGAACCUGGGAGGUGGAGAUUGCAGUGAGCCGAGUACUCCACCGUACUCCAGCCUGGGCGACAA
rnacentral:lncRNA from 1 species